GACGAACGCUGGCGGCGUGCCUAAUACAUGCAAGUCGAACGCAGUGGGGACGGGUGAGUAACACGUGGGUAACCUCCCAUCAGAGGGGAUAACACUUGGAAACAGGUGCUAAACCGAUAGAGAUGGAUGGACCAGCGGUGCAUUAGCUCGUUGGUGAGGUAACUGCUCACCAAGGCCACGAUGCAUAGACGACCUGAGAGGGUGAUCAUGCACAAUGGGACUGAGACACGGCCCAUACUCCUACGUGAGGCAGCCGUAGGGAAUCUUCUGCAAUGGACGAAAGUCUGGCCGAGCAACGCCGCGUGAUGGAAGAAGGUUUUCGGAUCGUAAAACGCUGUUGUUAGAGAAGCGGUAUCUAACCAGAAAGCCACGGCUAACUACGUGCCAGCAGCCGCGGUAAUUC
rnacentral:rRNA from 1 species